rnacentral:lncRNA from 1 species
CUCCAAAGUCCGAAGCUAGAAAUUGCUUCUUCAUUAGUCCUGAGACUUGGAGCAAAGAGAAGCAAAAACUGAAUUGAGCUUCUGGAAUCCACAAGGGAAGCAGAGCAGGAAACGAGUAGAGAAGCAAGGAGCCGACUCAGCAUCAGCCUCUGAGUUGGGCAACUUAUCAGAUCUGAAAGCUGGAGUGGCUUACUGGACGUCUGUGGGAAGAUUGAAGACACACUGCCCAUGCCCAAGGUUAGGCACAGCAUCCAGG